UACGGGAGGCAGCAGUGGGGAAUUUUGGACAAUGGGCGCAAGCUGAUCCAGCAAUGCCGCGUGAGUGAAGAAGGCUUUCGGGUGUAAAGCUCUUUGUCAGGGAAGAAACGGGGUUGGCUAAUAUCUGGCCCUAAUGACGGUACCUGAAGAAUAAGCACCGGCUAACUACGUGCCAGCAGCCGCGGUAAUACGUAGGGUGCAAGCGUUAAUCGGAAUUACUGGGCGUAAAGCGUGCGCAGGCGGUUUUGUAAGUCUGUCGUGAAAGCCCCGGGCUCAACCUGGGAAUUGCGAUGGAGACUGCAAGGCUUGAAUCUGGCAGAGGGGGGUAGAAUUCCACGUGUAGCAGUGAAAUGCGAGAGAUGUGGAGGAACACCGAUGGCGAAGGCAGCCCCCUGGGUCAAGAUUGACGCUCAUGCACGAAAGCGUGGGGAGCAAACAGGAUUAGAUACCCUGGUAGUCCACGCCCUAAACGAUGUCUACUAGUUGUCGGGUUUUAAUUAACUUGGUAACGCAGCUAACGCGUGAAGUAGACCGCCUGGGGAGUACGGUCGCAAGAUUAAAACUCAAAGGAAUUGACGGGGACCCGCACAAGCGGUGGAUGAUGUGGAUUAAUUCGAUGCAACGCGAAAAACCUUACCUACCCUUGACAUGUCAGGAAUUCCUGGAGAGAUCC
rnacentral:rRNA from 1 species